UCAUCUGUAAUAUCAUGAGCUCUCAGUGAAAGGUAUUUUCUCCCCUGAGUUGAUGUGCAUGGUCCCAUGUCCUAGUCACAUGUCCAAGAAGGAAAGGCAUUUUACUCCCCUGAGAUGA